CGCAGUUGCGACAUAACCUUGCUUUAAGUCAGCCAGAAUUUGUGUUAAACAGUUGUUGAGGUUCUCAAAAAAAAAACAAAAAAAACAAAUAUGUUGAAAUUGCUGGCAGUUUUUUUAUUUGCCUUUGUAAUCGCUGACUGGAAUCAGAAUCAAGUACAAGCAAAAGAAGAAGUGUCUGCCAAAGAAAGUCGCCUACUGAAGUUGUUGAAGGAUGAGUUAGAACAGAUAAAGAGGGAUUCUGACCCAUGUGGUUCAGAUACAUGUGAUGAUGAAUUGCAGGUUUGAAUGCUGUUUGAAUUAUUGCAAUGAC